rnacentral:rRNA from 1 species
GGCCAGCAGCCGCGGUAAUACGGAGGGUGCAAGCGUUGCUCGGAAUUAUUGGGCGUAAAGGGUAGGUAGGUGGUCUUAUUUGUCUGGGGUGAAAGCCUUGAGCUUAACUCGAGAAGUGCCCCAGAAACGGUAAGACUAGAGUCCUGGAGAGGGUCGUGGAAUUCCCGGUGUAGCGGUGAAAUGCGUAGAGAUCGGGAGGAACACCAGAGGCGAAAGCGGCGACCUGGACAGGCACUGACACUCAACUACGAAAGCGUGGGGAGCAAACAGGAUUAGAUACCCUGGUAGUCCACGCUGUAAACGAUGGGUACUAGGUUUGGUGGGUCUUGACCCCCGCUGAACCGGCGCUAACGCAAUAAGUACCCCGCCUGGGAAGUACGGUCGCAAGACUAAAACUUAAAGGAAUUGGCGGGGGA